rnacentral:rRNA from 1 species
CGAGGACGAACGCUGGCGGCACGCCUAACACAUGCAAGUCGAACGGAGAUUUGAGAGCUUGCUCUUAAAUCUUAGUGGCGGACGGGUGAGUAACACGUGAGCAACCUGCCUCUGAGAGAGGGAUAGCUUCUGGAAACGGAUGGUAAUACCUCAUAACAUUACAUGACCGCAUGAUCGUGUAAUCAAAGAUUUAUCACUCAGAGAUGGGCUCGCGUCUGAUUAGCUAGUUGGUGAGGUAACGGCCCACCAAGGCGACGAUCAGUAGCCGGACUGAGAGGUUGAACGGCCACAUUGGGACUGAGACACGGCCCAGACUCCUACGGGAGGCAGCAGUGAGGGAUAUUGCACAAUGGAGGAAACUCUGAAUGCAGCGAUGCCGCGUGGAGGAAGAAGGUUUUCGGAUUGUAAACUCCUGUUUCGAGGGACGAUAAUGACGGUACCUCGGGAGGAAGCUCCGGCUAACUACGUGCCAGCAGCGGC